rnacentral:tRNA from 1 species
ACUAUUUUAGCAAAUAAAUGCAUUAAAUUUAGAAUUUAAAGAUAUAAAAAUUAAUUUUAUAGAUAGUA